AUUUCCCUGCUACUAUCGUGCAUAGGUGAGGUAAUUAGAGCCAACACAAUGAACAAGGGCUCCUCCCUGCUCCCGCUGACACUAUGCCCUGAGCAGGGAAAGUGAAGGCGCGAGCAUAAGCAGCCCACCUGUUUAACAGGGUUCUAUCACCAACCGAAGCACGACAGUGGCGGGGAAUUA
rnacentral:other from 1 species